UAUCGGUGUACGAUGGGGAUGCGUUCCAUUAGGUAGUAGGCGGGGUAACGGCCCACCUAGCCGACGAUGGAUAGGGGUUCUGAGAGGAAGGUCCCCCACAUUGGAACUGAGACACGGUCCAAACUCCUACGGGAGGCAGCAGUGAGGAAUAUUGGUCAAUGGACGAGAGUCUGAACCAGCCAAGUAGCGUGAAGGAUGAAGGUCCUACGGAUUGUAAACUUCUUUUAUAAGGGAAUAAACCCUCCCACGUGUGGGAGCUUGUAUGUACCUUAUGAAUAAGCAUCGGCUAACUCCGUGCCAGCAGCCGCGGUAAUACGGAGGAUGCGAGCGUUAUCCGGAUUUAUUGGGUUUAAAGGGAGCGCAGACGGGUCGUUAAGUCAGCUGUGAAAGUUUGGGGCUCAACCUUAAAAUUGCAGUUGAUACUGGCGUCCUUGAGUGCGGUUGAGGUGUGCGGAAUUCGUGGUGUAGCGGUGAAAUGCUUAGAUAUCACGAAGAACUCCGAUUGCGAAGGCAGCACACUAAUCCGUAACUGACGUUCAUGCUCGAAAGUGUGGGUAUCAAACAGGAUUAGAUACCCUGGUAGUCCACACGGUAAACGAUGGAUACUCGCUGUUGGCGAUAUACUGUCAGCGGCUUAGCGAAAGCGUUAAGUAUCCCACCUGGGGAGUACGCCGGCAACGGUGCAACUCAAAGGAAUUGACGG
rnacentral:rRNA from 1 species